rnacentral:rRNA from 1 species
UACGUAGGCAGCGAGCGUUGUUCGGAGUUACUGGGCGUAAAGGGUGUGUAGGCGGUUGUUUAAGUUUGGUGUGAAAUCUCCCGGCUCAACUGGGAGGGUGCGCCGAAUACUGAAUGACUAGAGUGCGGGAGAGGAAAGUGGAAUUCCUGGUGUAGCGGUGAAAUGCGUAGAUAUCGGGAGGAACAUCAGUGGCGAAGGCGGCUGCCUGGCCCAAUACUGACACUCAGGUGCGACAGCGUGGGUAGCAAACGAGG